UCCGUAGGUGAACCUGCGGAAGGAUCAUUAGUGAAUUUAGCAUUUAUGCUGGAAAGUACUCUGUCAGCAAUGGCAGAGGAAACUCACAUAUCCUCAACACCUGUGAACUGUUUGAGUAGACGUUCGUCUGCUUGAUUUUUUACCAAACUACAUUAGUCAAUGAUGUUUAAAUACUUUAACAAAAUAAAACUGUCAACAACGGAUCUCUUGGCUCCCACAUCGAUGAAGAACGCAGCGAAAUGCGAUAAGUAAUGUGAAUUGCAGAAUUCAGUGAAUCAUCGAAUCUUUGAACGCACCUUGCGCCCUUUGGUAUUCCGAAGGGCAUGCCUGUUUGAGUGUCUUGAUUUAAUCAACCUUGAUCUUUGCAGUAGCAAAUGGUCUCGGCUUGGACUUGGGUGUUUGCCAAUGACAAGUUGGCUCGCCUUAAAAUCAAUGUGAAUCUUAGCAGUUCUAUCAACUGAUAAGCCAGGUGUAAUAAGUUAUUCCACUUGGUCCUACUCAGUAGACUGUUAAUGGUUUGCUCCAUAUCGGAACGCAGUUGGCCUUUUUAAGGAAAGUCUGUAUGCAUCUUCUUGACAUUGGCCUCAAAUCAGGUAGG
rnacentral:rRNA from 1 species